CGCGCGAGGGCCUCCGGGCGCCGCGGGCGGGGCGCGUGCUGGGCCGGGAGGGGCCUUCCGGCAACUUUUUGGUUGGUGCCGCCCCGCCCAGGCCCCUUUUAAACUUGAUCUCCGGGGUGCUCUCCCUUUUCGGCCGCGACGCGUGACUGGGCUUGGUGGAGUUUCAAGAUGCUGAUGAACUUAAGGUCUGGCACUUGAAAGAAUCAGUGAAGCUUUUCAAGUAGAUGAUACAUAUUUGAAUAUGUCACCUUUAGUAUCCACAGAACACAGGUCUAACCACAGGGCCUGUUGAACCCUUCCCUGGUGACCAAGAGCAUUUUCUGACAUGAACAGAGUUGUGCCAUCUUGCCCAUAUGAGCAAAGUUCUUCAGACGUCCCUUAUGAUUCUAGGUUUGAUACCUUCCCUGCCACUCCCCCACUACCAAAUCCCCUUACCCUAUACCCUAGCAAUGUAGAGUUGUCCAAUAUAGAACCUCGGUUAAACAUAGCAUCACCCAGGAAAAUGGGAUGAGUGGUUGCAGUCGUACCACAGUUCUGUAGUGCCUGCCUUAGUACAUUGCAUGUCUACGUGUUUAGCAAAGCUAAAAGCAGGAAUGGACUAUUGAACUACCAUUCUUUUGUACUCAAGUGCCAUGAAGAGAAGCAAACCUGGAGUUGAAUGAAAUGUUUUCAAAGAGGGCUUCCAAGUGAGGAACUUGGGCAUGUGAAUCUUUAAUUAUGACUAUAAAAGAAAUUGUGAUUGGAAACAUAAUGUUUAUGCUAAUGGUUAUUUCACUGAAAAUAGAAAGUCUUAUUUAAGAAUUGGUCACCAAACCUCCCCGGAUAGUGAUGUAAAACCCAGUGUAACAAUUGUGGCAUUGACAUGUCAGUUCAUGUAGAUUGAGUCACAAUUUGAUUUUGAAAAUGGCCAUAUCCCAUUUUGUCUUACUCUGGUGUUCCUAAGCACUUGAAUACAAAUAGAUUGUUUCCUUAAAGUAGCCAAAUCUUUGUAGUUCAAGUGAAUAUUCCAGACUAAAAUAUGUGUCUUUUUGAAGGUCCUUAAGCCUUAGAUAUUUAAUUGUGUAAUUUGGCAAAUAUUUGCUGUUUUGUUGUGUCAAGUCCCAUGAUACAGACAGUUCUUACCUUUCUGGAGCUUUCACAGUGUGACUCAUUUCAGUAUGUAAGUCAGAGCCAGUUUUAAUAGAAUGUUCCUUGGUUGA